rnacentral:rRNA from 1 species
UACGUAGGGGGCAAGCGUUGUCCGGAUUUAUUGGGCGUAAAGAGCGUGUAGGCGGCUAGAUAGGUCCGUUGUGAAAACUCGAGCUCAACCUCGAGACGCCGGUGGAAACCAUCUAGCUAGAGUCCGGAAGAGGAGAGUGGAAUUCCUGGUGUAGCGGUGAAAUGCGCAGAUAUCAGGAAGAACACCCGUGGCGAAGGCGGCUCUCUGGGACGUGACUGACGCUGAGACGCGAAAGCGUGGGGAGCAAACGGG